AAAACAAACAGUGGUGAAGAGAAGGCUUUGUUAUUGUUUCAACUGCUGUUUGCCUCUAACAGAAUCGUAUUUUAGAAGACAGAAAUUGAAGUAUGCAGAUAACCUGUGGGGUCUAUUCAUACUGGUCAAGCUAGCUACAUUAACUGCUAUCUGACAUAACAACUACCUUAAAAUGCUUCCAGUAUCCUGCUGUCAAAGGGCAAAAAUGUAUAUAGCGAUGGGAAUGUUGAACAACACACAGCCGCUUGCUCAGAAAGCUGCAAGAUGGUGGACAAGCACAAGCUCUUUUUAAUGGCAGCCAGCAGUCCGAGAACUUCCAAGCAAACAGAUGGUUGACUAUGAUGAGGAGACACAACGUGCUCUUUGUGUAUGUUGGAAAGGAGUCUCCACACAAGGAAGGGGCUCCGGAUGUUUCUUCGAUUCAGAGCAUAGUUUCCAAGAGCAGAGUGAGAGAUAUCACAAUAUAUAUUACAAUAUGUAGCAAUACAAUAUGUAUUAGAAGUUGUUUUGGUCAAAUGAAAUCAGACAUUUUAGUUAACAUAAAUAUCACUAUGUCUGCAGAUAGCAAGCUACUCAGCUCUCCUCAGGCACAGGGCCUAACCUCUGGGGCUAUAGGGGAGAUGGGAAUCAUGAUCUCAAUAUAUGUAAUGAUAUAGAACAUUAUUAGGAAUGAUUUUGAUGAUGUAGAUUGAUGUUGAUAACCGCCUAUGGUGUGGAAUUAGGAACUACAGUUUUCCUGGUCAAGAAGAAAAUCAAGGCCCUAUAAUCAAUUAUAACAUCACUAACAGAUUCAUUUGAUAGUAAAUUAUGUCAAAUGUUAAGGAAUUCAGUGCCUGAAAUCAUGGUAGCAUUCAUAUUCUCCCAGUGUGUUGAUG
ensembl:lncRNA